rnacentral:rRNA from 1 species
ACGAACGCUGGCGGCGCGCCUAACACAUGCAAGUCGAACGAGCGAGAGAGAGCUUGCUUUCUUGAGCGAGUGGCGAACGGGUGAGUAACGCGUGAGGAACCUGCCUCAAAGAGGGGGACAACAGUUGGAAACGACUGCUAAUACCGCAUAAGCCCACGGUGCCGCAUGGCACAGAGGGAAAAGGAGCAAUCCGCUUUGAGAUGGCCUCGCGUCCGAUUAGCUAGUUGGUGAGGUAACGGCCCACCAAGGCGACGAUCGGUAGCCGGACUGAGAGGUUGAACGGCCACAUUGGGACUGAGACACGGCCCAGACUCCUACGGGAAGCAGCAGUGGGGAAUAUUGCACAAUGGGGGAAACCCUGAUGCAGCGACGCCGCGUGGAGGAAGAAGGUCUUCGGAUUGUAAACUCCUGUUGUUGGGGAAGAUAAUGACGGUACCCAACAAGGAAGUGACGGCUAACUACGUG